GGAUGAUGUAAUCCUUCAGGGGCUUCAGGGGAGCUUUCAGUACCGUUCCUCUCGUUAUUCUUUGGGUUAAAAGGUCCGGUUGGCAAAACCAGAAGGUGAUGGGCGGAUGCUGGGCUGAUGGAUUGGGCUCAGGGGGUGAUGGCCAAUGGGUUCCAUCGUGUUGGGGGCCAAUCACAAUGCAGGACCCAUUUCAGGGCCAGUUCCCUGUUUUCAUCCGUGACCCGGAUGUGGGGUCUGCGGUCAUAUUCAACAGAUCUGUGGGUGAGACUGAAGUGGGAGAAGUGAUUGACCCCAUCAGGGCCGUGCAGGGGGAUCUGAACGCGCUGCAGGGCUGAGCAAUCGGCAGCUGCAGGAGGCUCAACAGGAGCGGGUGAGGAGUGAGAGGAGGCAGCGGGGAAACCUCAUGGCCCUACAGCCACUCAUGUCCUUCAGCCACUCAUGGCCCUACAGCCACUCAUGUCCUACAGCUCCUCAUGGCCCUACAGCCACUCAUGUCCUACAGCUCCUCAUGGCCCUACAGCCCCUCAUGGCCCUACAGCUCCUCACGACCCUAUGGCUCCUCAUGGCCCUAUAGCUUCUAAUGGCCCUGCAGCUCCUCACGACCCUAUGGCUUCUCAUGGCCCUAUAGGUCCUCAUGUCCCACAACCCUUCAUAGCUCUAAAGCUCCUCGUGGCUCUAGAGCUCCUCGUAGCCCUACAGCUCCUCAUGACGCUAUGGCUCCUCAUGGCCCUAGGGCUCCUCAUGGCCCUAGAGCUCCUCAUGAUCCUACAGCUCCUCAUGGCCCUACAUCUUCCCAUGGCUCUACGGCCCCUCAUGGUCCUACAGCUUCUCAUGGCCCUAUAGCUUCUCAUGACCCUACAUUUCCUCGUGACCCUACAUCUCCUCUUGGCCCUAUGGCCCCUCGUGGUUCUACAGCUCCUCAUGACCCUACAUCUCCCCCACAUCCUGCAGCUCCUCAUGGCAUCCUGAGUUCUACGUCCACCCAGGCGGCAUUAUUUAGAAGCUGCUCCCCAUGGUUCGCACCAUAACCGCUUUCCUCUUCCGUGCACAAAACACCCAUUUUCCCCUCCAACUAUUUUCAGACCGUCUCAGCAUGACAAACACAGAGCAAAUGUCACAGCGCCACCUGAAGCGAGGCGUGCAUUCCAAACCAGAAAGCUCUCUGCAGAAAGCAGAGGGGACAGAGCAGACACCAAACGCCCCCGAGCUGCGCUGCGCUCUGGGUGCAAACCAUGAAAGAGGACCUUAAACCAACCUUGCUGGCAGUGCUGGUUGGGUUUUGGGUUCUUUUUGGGAGGGAGGAUUUUGGGUGUCCCUUCUGGGGAAGCAUUGUGACUUUGCGCUGCCGCACAAAUGGGUAUGGAGGGAUCUGGGGUGCAUUUUUGAGGCCUCGUGGCUCAGAAGUGCUUUGCUGCAUCUCGAAGGGCGACGCUUUUCGCUCCUGUAAUCUCUUGUGCUCGGUGCAAUUCCCACUUCUUUCUUCGUUUUGUUUUCCACGCAGCUCAGAGAAAGGUUUGGAGCAGAA
rnacentral:lncRNA from 1 species